GUUUAUAUGUGUUAUAAACAAAAUUAAACUGCAGAUUAAUUUAAUGUUUGUUUACACGACCGUUGAAACCCGGCGAGUACUGCUUAUUCGGGUACGACGCUACUCCAAGAAGAAGGGGAGACAUGUGCUUUUCGAUAUGUUUAUUUGCAUGCGGAUUCCUAUCAUCAUGGUGUGGCCUAAGUGGUUAUUAUCGCUUAGAAUUCCCCGUGAUAAUCCUUUUUUAAAUGCGAACAAUAACAAGUUUACCUUGAAAUUAAUAAUUGAAUUAAUAGAAACUCAAAAAGCUGGUUCUCCUAGCAUUGGUACGGCAGAUGUACUCCAAUAAGGCGUGUGGCUGAAGAAAUGAAGGAUAUUCUAAAAACGUUCUGAAACAAUAAGGAAAAAAGUUGUUUUUAUUAAAUAUCUAAUAAAUUCAAGUAGAGCUCACUCGAAUAUUUGAAAUUUCCGCUCAUUAAACUCAAAUUUCUUCAAAAUCUUAGAAAUUAAGUAAGUUGAUUAUACGCAAUUCUACUGGAUAGUUCAGAUGAGAGUAAAAAACCUUCAUUGGUAUCUUUAUGAUAGAUAAUCAUUAAAGUACAUAAGUGUGAAAGGUUGUCUUCGGUUGUGAUUAAUUAAUUAUUUCAAAUCUCAUGUUAUUACAUAAAAAAAUGUUUACAUAGGUCCAAAUAAAUUUCAGUACAUCGAUUUUGCUAAAACUACAUGCAAAUUUGAAGCUUAUAUCUAUAAAAUAUGCACCUAAAAGAGGUUACCUCUAUAUUAUGCGAUAAAGAAAAAUUAGGUUAAAAAAAACAUUUUUACAAUUUAAAUUAUAUAGUUUUCAUCCUGAAACGUAUUUGUGCUGUAAUAAAUCUUUCAAAUCAGCAAGCCAUCUAUCCUUAAUUUAUUUUUUUUUAUAUCAUCACCUCUGACCUUUAAAUAACUUCUGUCAAUAAAUAUUGUCAAAUUUAACAGCAAGGAACUCAGAAUUAUUUUGGUAUUUUCCAAGUCUUUGGUGAGGUGCCACGGAAAUUCGGCAUUUGUAAGGUAUUUGCUUUGUAUGUAUGAGAAUUAAUUAUUGACAAAUGUAUAGACAUGAAAAUUUAAGGAUUUUUAAGGUGAUAAAAGUGAUAAAGCUAUAUUCUAUAUCAGCCAUAACUAGCAUAGUUCUACUCUUUAGCCUAAACACGCGUUGUCCUUAGUAUCCCCAUACAACAGCAGUAUAAGACAGUUCAGAAUGACAUGUGCAAAAUAUACAAUCUUGAGAACGUGUGUAGACACAUUCCCAAGACUGUGGCAAGAUUUCUUAAUAUCUAUAUUCAAAAUUCAAAUUCAAAAUAAAUUUAUUUAUCAAUAAAAUUACAUAAUUAUCAUGA